AUUGAACGCUGGCGGCAUGCCUUACACAUGCAAGUCGAACGGUAACAGGUCUUCGGAUGCUGACGAGUGGCGAACGGGUGAGUAAUACAUCGGAACGUGCCCGAGAGUGGGGGAUAACGAGGCGAAAGCUUUGCUAAUACCGCAUACGAUCUCAGGAUGAAAGCAGGGGACCGCAAGGCCUUGCGCUCACGGAGCGGCCGAGGGCAGAUUAGGUAGUUGGUGGGAUAAAAGCUUACCAAGCCGACGAUCUGUAGCUGGUCUGAGAGGACGACCAGCCACACUGGGACUGAGACACGGCCCAGACUCCUACGGGAGGAAGCAGUGGGGAAUUUUGGACAAUGGGCGCAAGCCUGAUCCAGCCAUGCCGCGUGCAGGAUGAAGGCCUUCGGGUUGUAAACUGCUUUUGUACGGAACGAAAAGACUCUGGUUAAUACCUGGGGUCCAUGACGGUACCGUAAGAAUAAGCACCGGCUAACUACGUGCCAGCCGCCGCGGUAAGAC
rnacentral:rRNA from 1 species